GAUGAACGCUGGCGGCGUGCUUAACACAUGCAAGUCGAACGAAGCACUUUAUUUGAUUUCCUUCGGGACUGAUUAUUUUGUGACUGAGUGGCGGACGGGUGAGUAACGCGUGGGUAACCUGCCUUGUACAGGGGGAUAACAGUUGGAAACGGCUGCUAAUACCGCAUAAGCGCACGGCAUCGCAUGAUGCAGUGUGAAAAACUCCGGUGGUAUAAGAUGGACCCGCGUUGGAUUAGCUAGUUGGUGAGGUAACGGCCCACCAAGGCGACGAUCCAUAGCCGACCUGAGAGGGUGACCGGCCACAUUGGAACUGAGACACGGUCCAAACUCCUACGGGAGGCAGCAGUGGGGAAUAUUGCACAAUGGGCGAAAGCCUGAUGCAGCAACGCCGCGUGAGCGAUGAAGGCCUUCGGGUCGUAAAGCUCUGUCCUCAAGGAAGAUAAUGACGGU
rnacentral:rRNA from 1 species